rnacentral:rRNA from 1 species
AUCAAAUCUGCUCAAUGAAUAUUUAAAUAGCUGCAGUAUCUUAACUGUACAAAGGUAGCAUAAUCAUUUGUCUUUUUAUUAAAGUCUAGUAUGAAUGAUUUAAUGAAAUAAAAUCUGUCUCAAAUUAAAAAUUAAACUUUAUUAUAAGUAAAAAUUCUUAUAUAUUAUUAAAAGACGAGAAGACCCUGUAGAAUUUUAUAAUAAUUAAUUUUAUUUUUAUAUUUAUAUAUUUAUAUUUAAUAAAUUAAUAUUAUUUUAUUGGGGUGAUAUAAAAAUUUAAUUAAUUUUUUAAAUAUUUUAAUAUAUAUUAAUAAAUUUUUUAUCCAUAAAUUAUGAAUAUAAAUUAAAUUACCUCAGGGAUAACAGCGUAAUUUUUUUAAAGAGACCAUAUUGAUAAAAAAUUUUGCGACCUCGAUGUUGAAUUAAGAUAAAUAAUUAUUGCAGAAAAUAAUUA